GACGAACGCUGGCGGCGUGCUUAACACAUGCAAGUCGAACGAUGAAGCGGGUGCUUGCACUCGUGGAUUAGUGGCGAACGGGCGAGUAACACGUGAGUAACCUGUCCUUUUCUUUGGGAUAACGGCUGGAAACGGCUGCUAAUACUGGAUAUUCAGGCUGCAUCGCAUGGUGUGGUUUGGAAAGGUUUUUUCUGGGAUUGGGUGGGCUCGCGGCCUAUCAGCUUGUUGGUGGGGUGAUGGCUUACCAAGGCUUUGACGGGUAGCCGGCCUGAGAGGGUGGUCGGUCGCACUGGGACUGAGAUACGGCCCAGACUCCUACGGGAGGCAGCAGUGGGGAAGAUUGCACAAUGGACGAAAGUUUGAUGCAGCGACGCCGCGUGGAGGGUGGAGGCCUUCGGGUUGUGAACUCCUUUUUCUCGCGAAAAAGGCACAGUUUUGGCUGUGUUGAUGGUAGUGGGGGAAGAAGCGCCGGCUAACUACGUG
rnacentral:rRNA from 1 species